GUCGGGAGAUUAGAGGAAGAGAGGAAAAAAAUCGAUGUUUUUAAACGAGAACUACCUUUGUGCAUGCUCUUAUUGAACGAAGCGAUUGGGAUGUUGGCAGAGGCUAGAAAAGGG